rnacentral:hammerhead_ribozyme from 1 species
AUCCAGCUGACAAGUUUCAAAUAGGACAAAACGCGCGCCCUGGAU